CCCUUAGAUGUUCGGGGCCGCACGCGCGCUACACUGAAGGAAUCAGCACGUCUUUCUCCUUGUCCGAAAGGACUGGGUAACCCACUGAACCUCCUUCGUGCUAGGGAUUGGGGCUUGUAAUUCUUCCCCAUGAACGAGGAAUUCCCAGUAAGCGCGAGUCAUAAGCUCGCGUUGAUUACGUCCCUGCCCUUUGUACACACCGCCCGUCGCUACUACCGAUUGGAUGGUUUAGUGAGAUCCUCGGAUUGGUCCCGGAGCGGCCUCUGGUCGUGCCGGAGUGCCGAAAAGAAUGUCGAACUUGAUCAUCUAGAGGAAGUAAAAGUCGUAACA
rnacentral:rRNA from 1 species